rnacentral:rRNA from 1 species
CACGUAUGAGAGUAACUGUUCAUACGUUAACGGUAUUUAACCAGAAAGUCACGGCUAACUACGUGCCAGCAGCCGCGGUAAUACGUAGGUGGCAAGCGUUAUCCGGAUUUAUUGGGCGUAAAGAGAGUGCAGGCGGUUUUCUAAGUCUGAUGUGAAAGACCUUCGGCUUAACCGGAGAAGUGCAUCGGAAACUGGAUAACUUGAGUGCAGAAGAGGGUAGUGGAACUCCAUGUGUAGCGGUGGAAUGCGUAGAUAUAUGGAAGAACACCAGUGGCGAAGGCGGCUACCUGGUCUGCAACUGACGCUGAGACUCGAAAGCAUGGGUAGCGAACAGGAUUAGAUACCCUGGUAG